rnacentral:rRNA from 1 species
CCUGCCCAGUGACACCAGUUUAACGGCCGCGGUAUUCUGACCGUGCAAAGGUAGCAUAAUCACUUGUUCUCCAAAUAAGGACUUGUAUGAAUGGCCACACGAGGGUUUUACUGUCUCUUACUUCCAAUCAGUGAAAUUGACCUUCCCGUGAAGAGGCGGGAAUAAAAAAAUAAGACGAGAAGACCCUAUGGAGCUUUAAUUAACUAUUCCAAAAAACAAUUCAACCACAAGGGAAAAAUAACUUAACAUGGACUAGCAAUUUCGGUUGGGGUGACCUCGGAGUACAAAAAACCCUCCGAGUGAUUUUAAUCUAGACAAACCAGUCAAAUAACCAUAACAUCACUUAUUGAUCCAAAACUUGAUCAACGGAACAAGUUACCCUAGGGAUAACAGCGCAAUCCUAUUCUAGAGUUCCUAUCGACAAUAGGGUUUACGACCUCGAUGUUGGAUCAGGACACCCAAAUGGUGCAACCGCUAUUAAAGGUU